rnacentral:misc_RNA from 1 species
GUAGGUGAACCUGCGGAAGGAUCAUUACACACAGUAACUAGUUUACUGCACAGGGGGAGCUGAAAGCCCGGUUUAACUGCUGGAUCCCGAGUAAGCUCCCUGUCUGCACCCUUGUCUUUUGCGUACCUAUGUUUCCUCGGUGGGCUUGCCUGCCGGUUGGACAAUUAUAAACUCUUUUUAAUUUUAAAUCAGCGUCUGAAUAAUUUUAAUAAUUACAACUUUCAACAACGGAUCUCUUGGUUCUG